rnacentral:miRNA from 1 species
CCCAUCUCUGUUCUUGUACCUCAGGUGUGCCAGGUAUGGUGGUGUGUGCUUGUGAUCCCAGCCCUUGGGAGGCUGAGGCAGGAGGAU